CACCGGCAGACGGGGCUGCAAAUGCUUCUGGACUGGUGUCCAAUGCAGUGGUUGCUGUUUUUAGACCUUGGGACUAGUAUGGGGACACUUGGGCUCAACUGAUUCAUCGUCGGGGCGACGAUGCAGAAAGCGGGGGUGGAUUGUAGCAGGAUGAAUGCUGCACUCUCCUUGGGUUGGCUGUGUUAUGCUCCUGUGACAUAAUGACCGUGCCUUGCUUUGACCAAUCAUGACACGAGGAUGCACUAUAAAGCUGGGCAAGGGUUACUCACUGUUCUCUUGCUGCAACGUCAGGGGCACGCCCCGCUUCCCGUUUGCCUCGCUUCCCGUUUGCCUCACUUCCUGUUUGCCUCACUUCCUGUUUACCAUUGCUAACAGGGUCACUGUUGGGUGUCCAUAGCCAGAGAGCUGAGCCGCUCGCUGGCUGCUGUAUGUCCAGUUCGAGCCGUGAGCCGCUCGCGAGCCGUUACUGGCUGUUACCGUGGCUGCCGGUUGCUCCCCGUUCCCUUGUGGUGGACAAAAUUUACUGAUUGGUGGGCUGCCGUUUGUCUGGAGCUGUGCUGGCUACACGGGGUUCCAACCGUAGGAGACGCUGCUGCUUUGCCUCCGUGGGUUUGUCUCGCAGACGUGGGUCUGUGUUGCCGAACGCUUGCCGGUCGGCUUCGUCUUCUUUCAGUCUGUUAUCUGCUUUUGCGUUGGUGCUGUGGGUGUCGGGCUGCUUCCAGCUUGUCUCUGUGGCUGCUGACCAACCGUUGUACAUACUGCUUCUUCUAACGUCCAGAGUGCAUGUGUGAAAAUAGGGUUUAAUUUUCUUUCUUUUCCCCUUGUUUCUUUUGAGUAUUUACUGCAGUCACGUGGCUAUUUGUGUUUGUUAGGUAUUUUCUUUGUCUGAUUUUAGGAUUUGUGUCACGUGACUGCACUUGAUUAGUCAUUUUGUAUGCAGUGGAUUUUGUUUAAGUAUAAGUUAAUGUUCAUUCAUUCAGUUAAUUGAAUCUUUCAGUUUUGCUAAAUUUGUUUUUUUUUAUUAUGUUAAGUAGUUUUCUGAAGUGUUGGUAAUUGUUCUUUUGUCAACUGAUUUAUGGAACCCUGUUAAUAACUGUUCCCUUUCCUUUG